AACGAACGCUGGCGGCAUGCCUAACACAUGCGAGUCGAACGAGACCUUCGGGUCUAGUGGCGCACGGGUGCGUAACGCGUGGGAACCUGCCCUUAGGUUCGGAAUAACUCCCCGAAAGGGGUGCUAAUACCGGAUAAUGUCUUCGGACCAAAGAUUUAUCGCCUUUGGAUGGGCCCGCGUUGGAUUAGCUAGUUGGUAGGGUAAAAGCCUACCAAGGCGACGAUCCAUAGCUGGUCUGAGAGGAUGAUCAGCCACACUGGGACUGAGACACGGCCCAGACUCCUACGGGAGGCAGCAGUGGGGAAUAUUGGACAAUGGGCGAAAGCCUGAUCCAGCAAUGCCGCGGGAGUGAUGAAGGCCUUAGGGUUGUAAAGCUCUUUUACCCGGGAUGAUAAUGACAGUACCGGGAGAAUAAGCCCCGGCUAACUCCGU
rnacentral:rRNA from 1 species